rnacentral:rRNA from 1 species
UACGGAGGAGGCAAGCGUUAUCCGGAAUUACUGGGCGUAAAGGGCUCGUAGGCGGCCAACUAAGUCGGAUGUGAAAUCCCCAGGCUCAACCUGGGAACUGCAUCCGAUACUGGAUGGCUUGAAUUCGGGAGAGGGAUGCAGAAUUCCAGGUGUAGCGGUGAAAUGCGUAGAUAUCUGGAGGAAUACCGGUGGCGAAGGCGGCAUCCUGGACCGACAUUGACGCUGAGGAGCGAAAGCCAGGGGAGCAAACGGG